rnacentral:rRNA from 1 species
AACGAACGCUGGCGGCAUGCCUAACACAUGCAAGUCGAACGAUGCCUUCCGGUCGAGUGGCGCACGGGUGCGAACCGCUUGGGAAUCCGCCUUUCGGUUCGGAAUAACUCAGGGAAACCUGCGGUAAUACCGGAUAACGUCGCAAGACCAAAGAUUUAUCACCGAAAGAUGGGCCCGCGUAGGAUUAGCUAGUUGGUGAGGUAAACGCUCACCAAGGCGACGAUCCUUAGCUGGUCUGAGAGGAUGAUCAGCCACACUGGGACUGAGACACGGCCCAGACUCCUACGGGAGGCAGCAGUGGGGAAUAUUAGACAAUGGGGGAAAGCCUAAUCCAGCAAUGCCGCGUGAGUGAUGAAGGCCUUAGGGUUGUAAAGCUCUUUUACACGGAAAGAGAAUGACGGUACCGGGAGAAUAAGCCCCGGCUAACUCCGUG